rnacentral:lncRNA from 1 species
UUUUGCUUUGGCACGCCCCGUCUCUCCUUUUGGUUUGGUUGUCGAGGUAGGAUGGUAACUUGUGCAAUAUGACCGGACAACAAAAGAGCCUGAACUAUUUUGUUGAAACAUAUUCAAGAAAGAUCUAGUUUUGAAGUAAUCGUUGAUACGGAUCUAAUGGCGAAGACGGAUUGUGAAUCGGACACACGGUUUGAGUUAUAAUUUUUUUUGAAUAUAUAAAAUGAACAAGUACAAAAUGCUUGAAAUCUCCUUUGUACUUAACGAACUGCAAGUAGGAAAUUGCCCAGCAGGCCCGGCGCUUGCUCUCGCGCCGCUCCCGUGCGCUGCUUGUAAGGCGCCGUAUGCUAAGGAUCGAUGGGCACGUCCGCUGAAUAGUUCAAUCCAAGUACAUGAUGAUAUGUGAAAGCACUUCCUUCCAUACCUAUUUUCCUUCAUUGUCUUUAUCUUUUCCUUUUGAGUUUUGUAUAAAAAACAUACCACGGCGACAUUUCUUUUGCCUAUACAUGAUUAUCUAUUAUCUAUUACUAUCUAUUAAAUUGAAAUUGGUGGUGAUGGUACGGUCGCCGUCACCGUAGGUUAACUUCGUUAAAAUUACAAUCAAUAUGCCACUGCUCGUUAUUUUCUUUUCCUCCAGUUUUUUUCGUUAAAAUUACAACCAAUAUGCCAUUGCCCGUUAUUUUUUUUCCUCCAGCUUUUUUUCACGAUUUCUCCUAUUCCGUCUUACAGCCGACGCCACCACACUCGCAUGCCGACCUCAACGGCGCCAUGAGUUGCCUACACAGAAAAUAAAAAUAAAUAGUUUGUGAUUUUGUUGACCCGUAGCAACGCGCGGGCACACCUGCUAGUAUCUACAAUGGUACACCUCUUUACAUACAGGGUUAUAUUAAGACUUUUUCUUCCAAAUUUAUUUUCACUUUGUUAUUCGUAUCACCGUUCUUAUUAUAAAAUUAUUUGACAUUCAUUGUGGGUGAACUAUAUUAGAAAUCAUACAUAUUUUUUGAAAAAAAACAUGACAUGGGGCUCUUUUCUAGUUCAAGUAUAAAAGAUGAAUGCUACUACAAUAUGUAGAAUGAAGUUGUAUCUUAUGAAUGCAACAUCGCUGUGUACCCAUGGCCAUGCAUCCGGUGCAUCACAGCCAGCCAAUUCUGAUCGGGCGUGUUUGUUUAGGCUGUGUUUGGUUCAGAGUGGGGCGGAAUGGAAUGGAUUUUUACUUUGUUAUUCCAUUCCACUGCUCGAACAUGUGUACCAUCAAUUGCUCCAAUGCAAUCCUAUAUAUUUAGAAGGGUUAGAACUUAUAAGCCAUAGAAGUUCACACCUAAAUAUGUAAGGACAAGUUUCUCAAAAUACCUUCAAAUAUGGGUCAAACCGCGGGUUCUCUUCAAUUUUAGCUGGAACUUCCAAGGAAGGUGGCCUGAUAUAUUCAGCUCGUAGCUCACCUAUUGCGUGAAGGGCUAGUCUAAAAUAGCGGCUUACUGUAUCAUUUGACCUGUCAAAAUUAACCCCAACAACCCUAUUUCUAAGGUUAUGCCCAAUAGUUUCAAGAACAUUGCUAGUUGCUCCUCCACGGAUACAUGUAUAGUGUCUCUCAGCAGCAUAUGUUCCCUCAAAAUUUCACACAAUCGGAAAAAGGGUACUCGUCCAACCCUUAACAUAUUUCUGCAUCUCACAUCACAGUUGAAAAUUUUAUUGUUUAGAUAAUUGAUUCUUUGUUGAUCUCUUUCCCAAAUAGGACCAUAGGUAACCGAGGUCUCCUCUUCUUUAUUCUAUCCAGAAUAACCAAAGCCACCAAUGUGAAAACCAGAAAUGUUGCAGCUCCCCUAAGCACGAAUUUCCGCCUCCUAUCCAUCCUCUUUACCAUGUACAAUGCAUACAUGGCUAUCAAAAAAUGACAAUGCAUACAUGCAACAAGUUUCUCACUGUUGUUUAUCUAACAAUUUGAGCAUACAGUGCAUAGAGAAAAUCUUCCUCGAAAUAAUUACACCCCAAAAAGAUACAGCAUAAUUACCUUGAGAUCUCUCCUGCUUCUCUUCCAAACCGCAAGCCGCCUCCUUUGACCUGCAGGACCAAACCGCAAGCCGCCUCCUCUCCUCUUCAGAUCGAAGUCGCAACUCCAAUCCCCUGCAGUGCCGACUCCUCUGCCUCCCUCCUUCGCUGACCUCCUCCAACAACUACGCCCCGCAGCCUCCUACUCCGUCGUCUUCGCCUGACACCACCCUCCUGGGCUCGUGUCCUCCUGCCAAGCGUCCACCGCCGGCAGGGCCCUAGAUCUCGUCGGGAUUGAGUUCAAGAGGAGGGGAGACGUGGGGAUCUGGUGGGGAUGGAAGCCGCCGACAUGGCUUGGGGAGGAGAAGGAGAGGGUUUCGGUCGGGAGCUCGGUGCUGGGCGGUGAGAGGAAAGACGGGAGAGAGUCACGGGAAGAGGAGGAACCGGACGAUACCAAGCUUUUUGAGUUACCGAGCGGUUCCGCGUAAACGUGGC